GCUUGAUCUAGGACGAUCUAGGCCGAACCAGACUUAGCUCCAGGUACUUGACGGUUUGAGUUGACGAGCGUUUGGAAUAUUGUUAUAUUUGACUUUUUAGAAGACGCAGCUGGAUUAGAGUAUAUGUCUCUUUAUCGGGUAAUCUCACAGGUCAGGAGAAUCAGGGCAGUGAUCGUGCGGUUUAGAGUAUUAGUAUUAGAUUUACAGCAUUUGUUUUUGUGA
rnacentral:lncRNA from 1 species